UCGGGGGCGAUCCUGAAUCUGUAGGAAGGCGAAGGCAAAGCGCUGACCUGACGAAUCGGACUUCCUAAUGGAAGUCCGCGGAACCGCAUGAGGCAGGGAGAGAGGAUAAGAAGGCCCAUAUCUUCAAAGUCCAAUACCUACACGGAAUCUCUUCCUGUAGACGCGGCGGGCAUAAGCGUGAAGGUGGGUGCG
rfam:Treponema sp. GWC1_61_84 gwc1_scaffold_48, whole genome shotgun sequence.